rnacentral:rRNA from 1 species
AGAGUUUGAUCUUGGCUCAGAAUCAACGCUGGCGGCGUGCCUAAUACAUGCAAGUCGAACGCGAAAGUCCCGCAAGGGGCAAGUAGAGUGGCAAACGGGUGAGUAACGCGUGGGCGACCUACCUUCGAGUGGGGGAUAACCUUCCGAAAGGAGGGCUAAUACCGCAUGACAUCCCGUGUUUGGAUACACGGACAUCAAAGUCGGGGAUCGCAAGACCUGACGCUUGGAGAGGGGCCCGCGUCCGAUUAGCUAGUUGGUGGGGUAACGGCCCACCAAGGCUUCGAUCGGUAUCCGGCCUGAGAGGGCGGACGGACACACUGGAACUGAGACACGGUCCAGACUCCUACGGGAGGCAGCAGUAGGGAAUUGUUCGCAAUGGGCGCAAGCCUGACGACGCAACGCCGCGUGGAGGAUGAAGAUCUUCGGGUCGUAAACUCCUUUCGACCGAGAUGAAUACCUGCGGACCUAACACGUCCGGAGGCUGACAGUAUCGAGGGAAGAAGCCCCGGCUAACUCCGUGCCAGCCGCCGCGGUAAC